GUUGGGUUAUGUAGUUAUUAAAAUAAUUGCUCCGUUUUACUUAAAAAAUGUAGACACUGGUAAUUGCUAAAAGUAAUACAGGUUCAGAAAAGGCACUUAGAAAUUAUUAUAAUAUUUGGUGAAGGCCCCAGGAAAGCUCUAGGCAGUUCCAGUCAAUUGUCAUUCAAAAAUGACGGUCUCUUGUAACGUCAAAAUGACAAUUCAAAAUGGCGACAGUGCGACGCCUUCUUGGAAAAAGAUUAUUUUUUUCUUACGAAUUGUAGUCACUUACGGUUUGUAGUAUGAAGUAUUGAUUUUUCCAAGCAAUUUUGAAAAUGUGAUUUAACGUAAUUCUAGUAGUCUUAACUGAUCAUGUUUAGUAGUGUAAGCGUGUAAAUAAAUCCGUUGGCUG